rnacentral:rRNA from 1 species
GAUGAACGCUAGCGAUAGGCUUAACACAUGCAAGUCGAGGGGCAGCACAAGGUAGCUUGCUCUCUGGGUGGCGACCGGCGCACGGGUGCGUAACGCGUAUGCAACUUGCCCUAUACAGGAGGAUAACCCGUCGAAAGACGGACUAAUACUGCGUAUGCUCACAACUUGGCAUCAAGUGGUGAGGAAAGGAAUUCGGUAUAGGAUAGGCAUGCGUCCCAUUAGCUUGUUGGUGAGGUAACGGCUCACCAAGGCAACGAUGGGUAGGGGAACUGAGAGGUUUAUCCCCCACACUGGUACUGGGAAACGGACAAGAUUCCUACGGAGGCAGCAGUGAGGAAUAUUGGUCAAUGGGCGCGAGCCUGAACCAGCCAAGUCGCGUGAAGGAUGACUGUCUUAUGGAUGGUAAACUUCUUUUAGACGGGAAUAACAAGAGUCACGUGUGACUCCCUGCAUGUACCGUAUGAAUAAGCAUCGGCUAACUCCGUG